rnacentral:rRNA from 1 species
GACGAGCUCUCCAAACGUUAUUCGGUAUCACUGGGCUUAAAGAGUUCGUAGGCGGCUUGACAGGUGAGGUGUGAAAGCCCACGGCCUAACCGUGGAAUUGCGCUUCAAACCGUCGGGCUAGAGGGAUGCAGGGGUAUGCGGAACAGAUGGUGAAGCGGUGAAAUGCGUUGAUAUCAUCUGGAACACCGGUGGCGAAAGCGGCAUACUGGGCAUUUUCUGACGCUGAGGAACGAAAGCUAGGGUAGCGAACGGG